AGGAGUGGAGCCUGCGGCUUAAUUUGACUCAACACGGGAAACCUCACCAGGCCCAGACACUGGAAGGAUUGACAGAUUGAGAGCUCUUUCUUGAUUCAGUGGGUGGUGGUGCAUGGCCGUUCUUAGUUGGUGGAGCGAUUUGUCUGGUUAAUUCCGAUAACGAACGAGACUCUAGCCUGCUAAAUAGACGUUAAACUUUCCAGUAUCUCGAAGGUCGCAUCUCUUGAUACUUUACUUUAAGCACUAUAACACGUGUUUUUAGUAGGUUCUUGAGUUUGUGGUUUUUACUACUGGCGUAUAUAUAAUUCUUCUUAGAGGGACAGGCGGCUUCUAGCCGCACGAGAUUGAGCAAUAACAGGUCUGUGAUGCCCUUAGAUGUUCUGGGCCG
rnacentral:rRNA from 1 species